ACACUUUUAAUAUAUUAAUAUAUUUAACUUCCAAUUAAAAAAUCCUAUUAGGAAAGUGUU
rnacentral:tRNA from 1 species